CAUACGAGGGAGUUGCUUUGCCAAAACCUGCCUGCCUCCAGCUGUGGGCAGGGAAACCUGUUCUGAGCCUUUGGCUGGUGGCUCAGCAGGCAGGUGUUUGCUCCAGGUGGGAUGGAGCAAGCAAGGAGACCCACAUAUCUUCCUGCAGUGCUGCUUCUGGAGGGAGAUUAGAGCUGGGGGGGCUGGUGCUGGUACACAGACGCUUCUAAUAAUGAUGCCCACAGAGCUGUUUGCAGAGUCAUGCUGGGCUCUGCCAUCCUGAUUGAAGUGAUCUGUGUUCAGGAACGUAGACUUCAAGUUUUCACAGCAUGGCUUGUGCAGGCUGCUGAGCCCCACAGCUCUCCAGCAGCCCUUGGGCUUAUUUGUCUGCAAACCCCAGUGGUGUGUAAAGUGAGGAGGAGAUCUGACCCUUUUGCCCUCCUCACAGCCUCCCCAGACCCAAGGCAGCAGCAUUGCCAUUUCUGUAUUGCAUUCUCAAGUUCUGGAGUUUUCCUUAUCAGGAUCUCAGAGACUCACUGGGGGUUCCAGAUUGUGGCUGGGGAGCAGCAGCACCCCAGAAUACCUGCUUCUGUACCACUUGAAGUGCAGCAGCAAGGAAGGUGUCUUGUGGUCGCGUGCCAGCUCGAGAAUGGAAUCUCUCUUGGCUCAGUUCCUCGCCAUGCUUGCUCACCAGUCUGUGUGCCAGACCAUUGUAGCUUUCUUUGCUUCACUAAUGGGCCCAGUUAAUUCAGGACCAUCUCUUUCCUGCUACGUGGCAACUGCUUCAGCUCUGGGCACAGAUGACUGCCACAUGCUUCAGCAGCUGAAGAGGACAUUACAAAUCACGGAGAUCUGUGACAGCAAUUCCCACAGAAAAAGCUCUGAGUUCUGUGCUGGGCUGAGGAGCUGUGCCACAGCCUUUGGGUGAAGUCUGGCAGCAGGGAGCAGCCCAGUUAAGUUUGGGGCACCUGCUCCACGCUUGAGGCUGUUUCUGUGGUGUUGGAUGUCUGUAUUUCAUUGCCAGGGGGAGAAGCUGAAGCACAGUAAGAGGGGAGCGUGUCCUGUGUGGCCAGGGCGUGCUGCCUGCUUCCCAGAGAGCACAAGGCUCCCUCCUGGCCUGCAAGGCCGGCAGCACCCAUGAUAUGUAGGACUUGCAUGCUGGGGGUUAUCUGCAUGGCACUGUAGCCCCAGGGGAGUGCAGCAGCCUGCUCUCUAUGCAAUAUUCUAGCAGCUACCGAGCAUCACCUGCUUUCAUGCAUGCAUGGAAAUGCAGAGCGAGGCGUGAGAAAAUCUGUGAGAUACCAUCUCUGCCCUGCGGCCCGAGCCGGCAGCACAGUGAGUGCUGCUCUUGGCCCUCGGCAGACCCCACUCCCUGCCACACUCCAUCCCUCUCCUGCCCUGGCCACUCCAGCCUGCACUGCAGCCCGUAGGUUCUGGGGUGCGCGGUGGCUCUGAGGCGCAGACAGGCAGGCAGCUGUCCAAUACCUCUGCUGGAGGGAGCUGCCAGGCUGCCCGUGCUGGCUGCCCUGAGCAGUGUAGAGGGAUGGAAGGGUCUCUCUGAUGGGAGAGAGUGAAACUCUGCAGGGAGCAGUCCCACUUUAGGGGUGGCUUUUGUGCCCAGCAGCUGGAAUUGGAGCUGAUGCGGAUCUCUGGUUGCGGAGAGUGGUGCAAAAAGGUGCUGGGGAAAGUUGAUAUGACAAGACCAAAAUAAUUAAUGGGAAUGUACUGAUUUUUUCAGUGUAUGAACACGUCAGGUUUUCUCCCCCUAGGUAGCAAUAGAACUUCUUGUGUCGCAGCAGCUGAAGUGACACAAAGUGAAACACUGCAAACCAGCAUUUCAGUAUCUUCCAAAACAAAGUAUUUCAGAGUCUCUAUAACUAUGCUACAUGUCAAAGUGUUGACUCUUUGUUCCAAACCGGGACAGAGGAAAUGCUGAACUGUCAGGUUUUUCCAUGUAGCGGAAAGAUUGAGCAGCUCCUGAGCCUCACAGGCCAUCAGUGGUGGCAGGCAGGGUGCCCUGGCCCCCAGCCCCACCAGCCAUCAGCCAGGUCUGGCCAGCAGCAAGUGUGGAUGGCUGCCUGUUGCCAAGAGCAGGGGCAGCCUGAGACAAGUUGGCAGGGCAGGGGACAGCAUGACCUGUUCAGGAAGAAGGGUCCUUAACACCCUUUAAUGGAAACCACAUGCCACCCGUGCUGCCCUGCUGCCUCUCUGAAGGGGAGCAGCACCCCAUCCUGCAGCGGCUGUGCCCUGGCAGGGCUCGGGGCUGGCAGCACAGGUGAUGCCAUGGCCGUGUGAAUACUGGGGGAGGUCCAGGCAUAGGCAGAGCUGGAUCCCCGUGGGGCACCGAGGGUGAUGCCCGCGCUGCUCAGGGUGCCGAAGACCGGGAGCAGCCCCGGAGCAGGGGCUGCGCUGCUCGGCGGGGCUGUGGUGCUGUGGCACACCUCUGCCGCGGUUGUUUUUCAGCCACCGAGAGAGGCACACCCCGCUUCCUGCGGCCCCGGCGCUUCCUGCGCCGGCUGCUGUGAUUAGAAGGGCGGCCGGUGUCCAGUGGAGCAGAGCCCUCCCUUGGGUGUCACGGCACCCUCGGGGGGGCUUGCUGGGUGGGCUGGUGCUGGACAUCGUCCUCGUACCGUGCUGCCAGUCAGGGGGCACAGAGGUGGUGCUGGGGCAGCAUCCUCCGCUCCCGCUCCGUGCUGGGGCUGCCACCGUGGGGCCAUGUUGAGGGGCAGCAGUGGGAAACACAGGUGAGACUUUCCAGGCAGUGCUGACACAAUGGGAGCUGGAGAAAUCCCAGCGGUUUCCCAUCCAGUGCUUUGUGCCUUCAAAGAGGCAGACAGUUCUCUCUAAUUAACUUGCCCCCACCCUGCCAGGCAAGGAAGUGAUUUUAUCUUCAUAGGGCUGGUGGAAGAAACUGGUCUAAAAAAAACUCACACGAGGGCCCCAGUGGGGUUGGUGCCUUCUCAGGGCUCAGCCUUGGCCAGGCAGCCCUGCUUCAGAGUUUCCUCGGCAUGCUUCUCUUUCUAAAGAGGAGCAAGACCUUCACCAAGAGGUGAGCAAGCUCCCACUCUUCCUACAGUGCCAGUCCACUUCUGAGUACAGCUGGAAAGAAGGGGGUUCAAGCAGCUGCAGUUGUGCACAGAGCAAAAUUGUCUUGGUUUUCUUUCAGGGGUGUUGUGGGGAGAGCUUCUUAAUGGGUCUGCUUGUCAGGGUGAGGCUGGCAGUACUGCUGAAUUGAGCAUUGUGAACAUGAAUAAUGAAUAGCCAUCACAUGAAUAUUUUAGAGACACAGCCCUGAGAUCUCCCAGUGCUGCCUUAAAGGAACAUGGAGGAAAAAUUGUCCAGAAAGAACGAUGUUUCCUUUAGGCAAAAACUCCCUGUUAUCACUGGCUUUUGAAAAAGAGCUGCUGCUGCUAAAUAAUAAUUCUCAGGAUAGGCAUCAAAAACUGGAGCAGUGGUUUGGCUCCAAGGCAGAAGUUGUUGGGAGAGAAGCCUAAGACAAUGAUUACAAUGUGCUGGAAGGACAGCAGAUUUUACAUUGCCUAUGCAAUGGUUUUGUGAGAAUUCCUGAAGUUGUGACCGCUUCCAAAGAUCCAACAGUGCUGGGCACUCGUGCUUUUCAAAGGAGUGGUGAGAAGUUUUGUGAUGCACAGGGGUGCUUUCUCUCCCAGGACAACACCUCAGUCCAGCCCAUCUCUGUCAAAGAGACGAGCUGUACAAACAAAGCCCAGCAGCAAAAAUUGUGUUUAUUUUGCAUGCAGUGGUAGCUACUGCAUCAUAUGGGAAUGGGCUGUAAAUCAACAGUUUUAUCACACUUCACAGCAGCGUGCCCUCUCCUUCAAGCUCUCCUGUGCUCUUGGCACCCACACUCUGUGCCAGGCUGCCUCUGUGCAGCUCUUGUGACAGCAUCUGUUCCUCAGUUUCCCUUUCAACUGUGUCUGAUUAAUCCAUGCAUAAAUGUCUUCUAGGAGCAGCAGCCUGUCGUGUUCAGAUAAGACCAGCAGCAGCCUGUCUUGCUCAGGAAGCAAAGGAGGGGCCAGACAAGACUGGUGGUGGCGGCAGAGCCUGAGAUGAGCAUGGCAAAGGAUCAGACGUCCUUGGGAAAUUUAUGCCAUGCAGUUACUGGCUUUUGAAAAGAAGAAGAAAAGAAAGCUGUGUCUUCCUAAUGGGCAUUUAUCAUGGAGCAAGAGAAAAGAAAAAAUAAAGAAAAGAGAAGAGAGAAAA